UACAGAGGUCCCAAGCGUUGUUCGGAUUCAUUGGGUGUAAAGGGUGCGUAGGCGGCGCGGUAAGUCGGGUGUGAAAUCUCGGGGCUUAACUCCGAAACUGCAUUCGAUACUGCCGUGCUUGAGGACUGGAGAGGAGACUGGAAUUUACGGUGUAGCGGUGAAAUGCGUAGAUAUCGUAAGGAAGACCGUGGCGAAGGCGGGUCUCGUGGACAGUUCCUGACGCUGAGGCACGAAGGCCAGGGGAGCAAACGGG
rnacentral:rRNA from 1 species